GAGUGUAUAUUAAAAGAUAAUGAUAUUUUCUAAUUCAUUUGAUAGUGGUAAGCGGCCGUAGUGUAUUAUUUUGUUUUAAAAUUGCUUAGGACAAUAUGGAAUAGCAUAACUGGUUAUGACUGAUCAAUAAAAGUAUAAUAAAAAGAUGAUAGUCGUAAUAAAAUAAAUUCAGUUGACAUUUAAACAUGAAUUAAAGUUGAACUUCCAGAAGGAAAAAUGUAAAUGCUUUUGUUU
rnacentral:lncRNA from 1 species